CCUCCCUUACACUGCUUUUAAAUUGUCUAAAUUGUCCUUUAACCAGAAAAACCAUUGUUUUUCCCCCUUUUUUUGCCCCUAAUUGCUUAAUGAUUUGAGCCAUAACCACAUAACCAUCCGUUUGUAGUAUGGAAACUUGUGGUAUAAUUUCAGGGAGAUUUAUACACUUAAACACAAGUUAUUGACUGAAAACUACAAAAAUGCUUAUUUGGACCCCUUUUUUUUACCCCUCACUUUUUAGAACCCCCUCCUACCUUGGAGCAAAAACCUCAAAACACAAUUCCAGCCUUUCCUUUGCAGAAAGAAACCUUGUAGCAUAAUGUCAGAUAGAUCCAUUCACUUAAACCCAAGUUGAUGCCUGUAAUCUAGAAAAAUGCUUCUUUUUGGCCCCUUAUUCCUAAAUGUUUAGGGAUAUUAACCCCAAACUCAAUCAAAGCCUUCCCUUUGUUAUAUGGAACCUUGUAGUACAAUGUCAGAUAGAUCCAUACAGUUAUACAUAAGUUAUUGUCCCGAAACUACAAAAAUGCUUGUUUUUGG
rnacentral:lncRNA from 1 species